CCUACGGGGGGCAGCAGUAGGGAAUCUUCCACAAUGGGCGCAAGCCUGAUGGAGCAACACCGCGUGAGUGAAGAAGGGUUUCGGCUCGUAAAGCUCUGUUGUUGGAGAAGAACGUUCGUGAGAGUAACUGUUCACGCAUUGACGGUAUCCAACCAGACAGUCACGGCUAACUACGUGCCAGCAGCCGCGGUAAUACGUAGGGGGCAAGCAUUAUCCGGAUUUAUUGGGCGUAAAGCGAGCGCAGGCGGUUGCUUAGGUCUGAUGUGAAAGCCUUCGGCUUAACCGAAGAAGUACAGCGGAAACCGGGCGACUUGAGUGCAGAAGAGGACAGUGGAACUCCAUGUGUAGCGGUGGAAUGCGUAGAUAUAUGGAAGAACACCAGUGGCGAAGGCGGCUGUCUGGGCUGCAACUGACGCUGAGGCUCGAAAGCAUGGGUAGCGAACAGGAUUAGAUACCCGAGUAGUC
rnacentral:rRNA from 1 species